AUAAUUAUAGUAUUUUUCUUAAGUUUAUAAUAAAGUAUUACAUUUUAACUCCACUUUAACAAAAGAGGUUGCUGUGUACACAUGUAUGUGUGUGCGUGAAUAAAUGGUUGUUGUUUUACUUUGUCUAUCCAUUCUAAGAAAGAGGCAACAGUGGCUGUAUACUCGGCGACAUCAAGAGGACGCAUACAAUUGAUAUAUGGCGGCCAACCGUUCAUUUUUGAGAAGAAAAUUAAAUUGCCCACCAAUGAAGAAAAGAAAUAUUGGCGCUGCAAUCAGUGGUGGAAU